rnacentral:rRNA from 1 species
UGAGAGGAAGGUCCCCCACACUGGCACUGAGAUACGGGCCAGACUCCUACGGGAGGCAGCAGUAGGGAAUAUUGGGCAAUGGUCGGAAGACUGACCCAGCCAUGCCGCGUGCAGGAAGACGGCCCUCUGGGUUGUAAACUGCUUUUAUCUGGGAAGAAAAAGGCCAUGCGUGGCAAAUUGCCGGUACCAGAUGAAUAAGCACCGGCUAACUCCGUGCCAGCAGCCGCGGUAAUACGGAGGGUGCAAGCGUUGUCCGGAUUUAUUGGGUUUAAAGGGUGCGUAGGCGGCUGAAUAAGUCAGCGGUGAAAGACUCCGGCUUAACCGGAGCAGUGCCGUUGAUACUGUUUAGCUUGAGUUCUGCAGGGGUACAUGGAAUUGAUGAUGUAGCGGUGAAA